rnacentral:rRNA from 1 species
GGAGGGAGCUAGCGUUGUUCGGAAUUACUGGGCGUAAAGGGCGUGUAGGCGGUUUUUUAAGUUAGGCGUGAAAGCCCUGGGCUCAACCCAAGAACUGCGUUUAAUACUGGAAAACUUGAGAUCGGUAGAGGGAAGUGGAAUUCCUAGUGUAGAGGUGAAAUUCGUAGAUAUUAGGAGGAACACCAGAGGCGAAGGCGACUUCCUGGGCCGAAUCUGACGCUGAGGCGCGAAAGCGUGGGGAGCAAACAGGAUUAGAUACCCUGGUAGUCCACGCUGUAAACGAUGAAUGCUAGACGUUGGGAGUUUAUCUUUCGGUGUCGCAGCUAACGCAUUAAGCAUUCCGCCUGGGGAGUACGGUCGCAAGAUUA